GGAUAAUGUCAGAAGAAAAAGCAGCAGCCUCCGGAGGAUGAAGUGGGCUAUAAUGGACUCCUGAAGGAGGCUGGAUUUGAGCUGAGUUUUGAAAGAAACCAGAGAAGCUAAGAUGUGAGAGUAAACAAAGGAGAGCAUUCCAGGCAUAGAGACAGUCAUUCCAAAAUGAUAGAGAAAAGGCAUGGAAUGUUACAUGUAAAGAGAAUCCAAUAGAGCACUAUGACCAGAUUACAAAAUUCUGUAAUGGAAGGAAGAGAAUGUCAUGAAGAGCUUUAAAUAAAAAUCAAGAUUUUAUAUUUGAUCCUGAACCUAAUAGGGAGCUACAGAAUUGACUGAGUAGGCAGACGGCAUAGAACUAGACUUUAGAGAAAUCCCUUUAUCACAUGAGUGAAGGGUAAGUGGAUGAAGAAAGACUUUUGCAGAAGACUAUUGCAAUAGUGCUGGUGACAGACCUGAGAAGAGCCUGAAUGGUGGUUGUGGCCUCAUGAGUAGAGGAAAGUUAAGAUACAACCACCCCAGCCAUCUAGGUGGCAUCACAGUGGACCUGAACUCAGAUCUUGCCUCUGACACUUACUCCCUCUCUGACACUGAGUCAUUUUACAGAUGAUGAAACUGAAGAAAACAGAAUUGAGUGACUUGCCUAGGGUUACACAAUCAGUAAAUACCUGAAGCUAGAUUUCCUCAUUCCAGGUGUGGUGUUCUAUCCAUUGUGCCACCUAAGCUGUCCUUAUUGCAAAGACUAG
rnacentral:lncRNA from 1 species